AAUUUUAAAAAGUUAUCAGUACUGUUCAGUUCAGUGCAGUCACUCAAUCAUGUCCGACUCUUUGCAACCCCAUGAACCGCAGCACGCCAGGCCUCCCUGUCCAUCGCCGACUCCUGGAGUCCUCCCAAACCCAUGUCAACCGUGUCAGUGAUGCCAUCCACCCAUCUCAUCCUCUGUUGUCCCCUUCUCCUUCUGCCCUCAAUCUUUCCCAGCAUCAGGGU